rnacentral:tRNA from 1 species
GUGACUUUAUCAUAAAUGGCAAUGACCCACACUGUGAAUGUGGUCUAUACGGGUUCGAAUCCCGUAAGUCACCCCA